rnacentral:rRNA from 1 species
CAACAGGGAUUGCCCUAGUAACGGCGAGUGAAGCGGCAACAGCUCAAAUUUGAAAUCUGGCUCCGGCCCGAGUUGUAAUUUGCAGAGGAAGCUUCUGGUGAUGCACUGUCUAAGUCCCCUGGAACGGGGCGCCACAGUGGGUGAGAGCCCCAUUUGACAGAGGCAGAUCCUGUGUGAAGCUCCUUCGACGAGUCGAGUAGUUUGGGAAUGCUGCUCAAAAUGGGAGGUAAAUUCCUUCUAAAGCUAAAUAUUGGCCAGAGACCGAUAGCGCACAAGUAGAGUGAUCGAAAGAUGAAAAGCACUUUGAAAAGAGGGUUAAACAGCACGUGAAAUUGUUGAAAGGGAAGCGCUUGUGACCAGACUUGCGCUGGGCUGAUCAUCCGGUGUUCUCACCGGUGCACUCGGCCCAGCUCAGGCCAGCAUCGGUUUUGGUGGGGGGAUAAAGGCGCUGGGAACGUAGCUCCUUCGGGAGUGUUAUAGCCCAGCGUGCAAUGCCCCCGCUGGGACCGAGGUUCGCGCAUCUGCAAGGAUGCUGGCGUAAUGGUCAUCAGCGACCCGUCUUGAAACACGGACCAAGGAGUCAAGGUUUUGCGCGAGUGUUUGGGUGUCAAACCCGCACGCGUAAUGAAAGUGAACGUAGGUGAGAGCUUCGGCGCAUCAUCGACCGAUCCUGAUGUAUUCGGAUGGAUUUGAGUAGGAGCGUUAAGCCUUGGACCCGAAAGAUGGUGAACUAUGCUUGGAUAGGGUGAAGCCAGAGGAAACUCUGGUGGAGGCUCGCAGCGGUUCUGACGUGCAAAUCGAUCGUCAAAUCUGAGCAUGGGGGCGAAAGACUAAUCGA